GGACCCGCACAAGUGGUGGAGCGUGUUCUUUAAUUCGAUGAUAAGCGAAGAACCUUACCAGGGCUUGACAUCCUUGGAAUUUCUCCGAAAGGAGAAAGUACUUUAUUGGACCAAGUGACAGGUGUUGCAUGGCCGUCGUCAGCUCGUGUCGUGAGAUGUUUGGUUAAGUCCAUUAACGAGCGCAACCCUUAUGAUUAGUUGGAUUUUUCUAAUCAGACUGCCUCGGUAACGGGGAGGAAGGAGGGGAUGAUGUCAGGUCAUUAUUACCCUUACGUCCUGGGCUAGAAACGCGCUACAAUGGCCGGUACAAAGGGCAGCCAACCCGCGAGGGGGAGCAAAUCCCAUCAAAACCGGUCCCAGUUCGGAUUGCAGGCUGAAACUCGCCUGCAUGAAGCCGGAAUCACUAGUAAUCGUAGGUCAGCACACUACGGUGAAUACGUUCCCGGGUCUU
rnacentral:rRNA from 1 species